GCCUGGGUGGCUCAGUCGGUUGAGCGCCUGACUACAGCUCAGGUAAUGAUUCAUGGUUUGUGGGUUCGAACCCCGCAUCGGGCU